rnacentral:rRNA from 1 species
GCCGUAAUGAUUAAUAGGGAUAGUCGGGGGCAUCAGUAUUCAAUUGUCAGAGGUGAAAUUCUUGGAUUUAUUGAAGACUAACUACUGCGAAAGCAUUUGCCAAGGAUGUUUUCAUUAAUCAGUGAACGAAAGUUAGGGGAUCGAAGACGAUGGACCGCCGGGCCCGUGGGCCGGUAUCUGGUCGUCCAAAACUCAAGUUAGUCCGUGGGCAACGCCGUCAAAUUGCGGGGACUUCUGUCAAAGCGGUGUUACCGGUCUCGGGCGUAAAGCCGGCGAGGCCGCGGGGUGAAAACGCACCGCUUUAGAUAACCUGCAGCCAAUCCACGGGUAUAAUACGUACCCGUGGUGCAGUUAACAGACUGAAUGCCGGCGGGUGCUUUUUAGCACUCAAGAUACAGUCGAUACGGGUGUAUGAGCACCCCUGCCUCAGGUACAAGCAGAUACCGUCGUAGUCUUAACCGUAAACUAUGCCGACUAGGGAUCGGGCGAUGUUCCUUUAUGACUCGCUCGGCACCUUACGAGAAAUCAAAGUUUUUGGGUUCUGGGGGGAGUAUGGUCGCAAGGCUGAAACUUAAAGAAAUUGACGGAAGGGCACCACCAGGAGUGGAGCCUGCGGCUUAAUUUGACUCAACACGGGGAAACUCACCAGGUCCAGACACAAUAAGGAUUGACAGAUUGAGAGCUCUUUCUUGAUUUUGUGGGUGGUGGUGCAUGGCCGUUCUUAGUUGGUGGAGUGAUUUGUCUGCUUAAUUGCGAUAACGAACGAGACCUUAACCUGCUAAAUAGCCAGGCGAGCCUUGGCUCGUCGCCGGCUUCUUAGAGGGACUAUCGGCUCAAGUCGAUG